rnacentral:misc_RNA from 1 species
GAAAAGCCAAAAUCUUGCUCGUCAAGCCCUAUAUUUUUUCUUGAAAUAGCAAAAAAAAAUGGGUUGAGGUAACAGGAACUUGAAGAAGAAGAAAAAGGGUGUUGAUUCGUGUUGUUGUUGAAGAAAAAGAAGCAAAAAUGGUGGUAAGGAAAGUUGGUAAGUAUGAAGUUGGAAGGACAAUUGGAGAAGGAACAUUUGCUAAGGUUAAAUUUGCUCAGAAUACUGAGACAGGUGAAAGUGUCGCCAUGAAAGUCCUCGAUCGAAGCACUAUCAUCAAGCACAAGAUGGUUGACCAGAUAAAGCAGGAGAUAUCCAUAAUGAAGCUUGUUAGACAUCCAUAUGUAGUUCGAUUACAUGAGGUUAUAGCAACUCGCACGAAGAUCUAUAUUAUCUUGGAAUUUAUCACAGGCGGGGAACUUUUUGAUAAGAUAGUCCACCAUGGACGAUUAAGUGAGGCCGAGUCUCGAAGAUACUUUCAACAAUUGAUUGAUGGAGUUGAUUAUUGUCACAUCAAGGGAGUUUAUCACAGAGACCUAAAGCCUGAAAAUCUUCUGCUAGAUUCCCAAGCAAAUCUGAAAAUAUCAGAUUUUGGACUUAGUGCAUCACCUGGCGAAGGAGUCAACAUUCUUAAGACUACAUGUGGAACUCCCAACUAUGUUGCACCAGAGGUUCUUAGUCACAAAGGUUAUGAUGGUGCUGUGGCUGAUAUCUGGUCCUGUGGUGUCAUCCUUUAUGUUCUGAUGGCAGGUUAUCUCCCUUUUGAUGAGGUUGAUCUCACUACACUGUACGCAAAGAUUGACAAAGCAGAUUUUUCCUGCCCAUCUUGGUUUCCUGUUGGAGCAAAAUCUCUGAUACAUCGAAUUUUAGACCCAAAUCCUCAAACUCGUAUUCGGAUUGAAGAGAUCCGUAAUGAUGAGUGGUUUAAAAAAAAUUAUGAUCCUGUCAAAGUCAUGGAGUAUGAAGAUGUCAAUUUAGAUGAUAUUAAUGCAGCUUUUGAUGAUACUGAGGAGGAAGCAUCCAACGAGCAAUGUGACAAUGCGGAUGCUGGGCCUCUGGCUUUAAAUGCCUUUGACCUAAUUAUUCUCUCUCAAGGAUUGAACUUAUCCAUAUUGUUUGACCGUGGGCAGGACUCAAUGAAGCAUCAUCAAACACGCUUCCUAACACAGAAACCAGCAAAAGUUGUUUUAUCAAGUAUGGAAGUUGUGGCCCAGUCCAUGGGUUUCAAGACCCAUAUCCGCAAUUUUAAGAUGAGGGUAGAAGGUCUCUCCACAAACAAGACUUCACAUUUCUCUGUAAUACUGGAGGUUUUCGAAGUUGCUCCUACAUUUUUCAUGGUAGACGUUCAGAAAGCAGCCGGUGAUGCUAGUGAAUUCCUCAAGUUUUACAAGAACUUUUGUGGCAAUCUUGAGGACAUUAUCUGGAGGCCACCGGAUGAAUCAUGCAAAUCAAAAGUUACAAAAGCAAGGAGUAGAAAGAGAUGAUAUUUUAGCAUUAGAGAGUCUGUGUGUACUUUGUGUUUGUAUAAAAGAUUACAGUUUCUUGAACCCAAUAGGCAGUGAGUACACUCUUUUAUAGUCGAGCCAAGUGAGGGGUAAUGUUUCCGCGCUUUCCCCAGGUUUUAUAUCAGUUAUAUCAAUGUGGUGAUGACAGUUAUCAUCUUAGAGCAGAGAGUAAAACAUAACAAAUACUUGCUAUUUCUAGAGAAGAGUGAUUAUAUUUUUACCAGCUUCAGUGAAACAUUUCCAAUUUUCUUGUUUCAUCAAUUUCAUAUUAACAGCAAAGGCAAUUGUUGUUAAAUCCAUGAUC